rnacentral:rRNA from 1 species
UACAGAGGGCCCGAGCGUUAAUCGGAAUCACUGGGCUUAAAGGGUGCGUAGGCGGAUGCGCAAGUGCCUUGUGAAAUCCCACGGCUUAACCGUGGAAUGGCUGGGCAUACUGCGUGUCUUGAGGUCGGUAGGGGCCGCCGGAACUCUAGGUGGAGCGGUGAAAUGCGUAGAUAUCUAGAGGAACGCCGAAGGUGAAGACAGGCGGCUGGGCCGAUUCUGACGCUGAUGCACGAAAGCGUGGGGAGCAAAC